CGCGGGGUGGAGCAAUUGGUAGCUAGUCCCGAUACUUAAUCGGGAAGGUUACAGGUUCAAGUCCUGUCCCCGCUACAA
rnacentral:tRNA from 4 species